GUGUUGGUGGUUGAUGGUGGUGGGGGUCCGCCCGGUUCCGUUCCGAUCCCGGUAGCUAAGCCCAUUCACGCUGAUGGUACUGCACCUGGUGGGGUGUGGGAGAGUAGGUUACCGCCAACAC
rnacentral:rRNA from 1 species